rnacentral:rRNA from 1 species
UACAGAGGUCUCAAGCGUUGUUCGGAUUCAUUGGGCGUAAAGGGUGUGUAGGCGGUCUUCUAAGUUUGGUGUGAAAUCUCCCGGCUCAACUGGGAGGGUGCGCCGAAAACUGGGAGGCUAGAGUGCGGGAUGGGAGAGUGGAAUUCCUGGUGUAGCGGUGAAAUGCGUAGAUAUCAGGAGGAACACCGGUGGCGAAGGCGGGUCUCUGGGCCGAUACUGACGCUGAGGAGCGAAAGCGUGGGGAGCGAACAGG